rnacentral:lncRNA from 1 species
ACCAGCCAAGCGGCCCAUGUCCAGCCGACAGCCGCCCAGACGCAAGGAAACAACAGAACUGGACCAUAUGGUUGGCUAUGCUUUUUUUCAUGCCUUCAUUAAGAUUUGCUCAUGUGUGUUGGUCCUUUUUCAAUAGAAAUUGAUUGAACGGUGCCAUACUGUAGAAGGUGCGGUGCGGUAGGUAACUAGCCAAUUAGGUUGAUACCUUGAUAUAUUAUGAUAUUCAAUCUUCUUCAAGUUAUAUUUUUUAUCUUCAAUUCUUUAAGAUUUGCUCAUGUGUAUUGAUAUAUUAUGUGCUAUUUCUCAUGCCUUCUAUUUUCAAUCAUCUUCUUCAAUCUUCAAUUAUAUUUUCUUCUUCAGUUUUCUUCAAGCCUGCGAGGCAAGAAGACAGAUUGCAAAUUGAAGAUUUCACUUCUUCAAUUCUAAUCAGAUUCCAAACAGAAGACUCGAGACCCAGUGAGGUGAGGCUAGGCAGAAACGUCAAAAGAAAUUUUUUUGAGGUAACAUGUAUAUAUAAAUAUUAUUUUUGGAUGUAAUCUAAAUGUUUGCAGCAAUAACUCUACAUACCUACGUGUGUGUGUAUAUAUAUAUAUAUGUAUAUGUGUGUGAUUAUUAUUAUUAUUAAAGGAGACAGUUCAUG